CACGUCACAGGGGAGACGUUUCACCUGUGUUUUAUUGGUCCCACCUGUGUCUAAAUACCCUGUGUGUUUUAAGUCUCUGUGUUUCUUCUCUUCUGUGCCUUUCCAUUUCAUCUCAACAGACCUACCUGUGUUCUUUGUGGAUUAUAAUUUUGGCUCUUCCAGAGUUUUUUCCUUUGCUGGACUUUGGGAUUUGUUCCUUCAAAUUUUGUGUCUUCACCCCGUGGACUCUGUUAAAUGAUAUGGAUUCUUGAGUGGAGUACAGUGGCAGCAAACAAAGCAGAGCGGCCUUGAGUCCUUGCUGAGACCCUUUGUCCAGUAAUCAGCAGAGAUGUGGAAAGGUUGUUGAUCCUAAUGCAGUACGGCAGAGUCUUCCGACAUGCUGCUGAUGGACUGUUUGCUUGGACGGUCGUCCUGCGAUUGAGAGGUGAUGAUGGCCAGAGGGAAGUUGUCAGUCAGAGUUGGACGGUUCUGCCGGUGCUAACAGAUGCUGCCAGCGGUAUAUUGACACAGCAUCUCACUUACCCAGCGGUCGACGCAGCUAUUCAGGAGGCCUGUCUGAUCCUAGAGACGUCAGCCUUCCUAAUAAUAAUCACAUCCUGAGGAAGAUGGAGGACGCCAGGGUGUGAUGGCAUGCCUGCCGCUGUCACAGCGUGGGACAGAAUGAGGUAAUCUGGACUCAUGGGAACUCCUCCCUGUAGUGUUUGGCAGGAACUAUAAAUAGGCAGUGUCACAGAAUGAUUGAGGUCUAUAUUUUGUCUUUUCAGCUCAUAUUUAAACUGCUUUAAUUUCUAUCCCGGCAUAACCGUGGGUAUCUGCCAACUUUUGCAUCUUUGACGUCAAUAUUUGGUUUUGUCUUAUGACUAUAAAUGGCCAAUUUGGUGUGUGUCAAGGCUCUUGAAAUUCAUACAUUAUGCUCUCUCACAUCCACUACACCCAGGCUGGGACACAAACUAUAUAGUUUUGGGUGCUGCUAAUAACUAUGUUUGACAGAAGAAGACAUUUGUCUAGUUUUGUAACAAGUGAGCCAGCCAAGACCUCGACCAGUAAAUUGCACGGUGGAUAGAUUUACUCUCUAAGCUCUCUGGAAGCUGUAUCCUCCAAUCCAUUCAGCAUUUCCCAUUGUUUUGGAGAUAUUAAAUAAGGCACAGAUAUUUAAACAGAGAAAAAAAAUCUCUUUGAAAUUUCAAGGUCCAUGGAAAAUUAAGAUUCAAACAUCAGACACACAAAGGCCUUCACUGGCAGAAAGUACUUAGAUUUUUCAUCCAAACAUCUGUUAAUAUUAACCUUGGUGAAAGUUUUGGCUGCACAUUUAGCUAUUGUUAUUUCUUUUUUAGAGAGGUUAUAAUGAUCUGUGCAAAUAAUUGCUAUGUGCCCAGCAAAAAUUAAUGGCAUUGUUAAAGCAACGAUUAAACACCUCAGAGAAAAUCCCCCACUAUGGUUAGGAAUUAAUCUGAGUUUUAUGGUUUUCUUACAGGAAUGUGUGAGGCAAACAGAGAGAAUGUAUGAAAACAGGCCUUUGCACUGCCACAACUUGCCCACACUUUAAUCCACACACUUAAGAAACAAUAACCUUUAAACUGCCUCCAAACCAUCUGUGCUAAUAAUGCCCACUCUAGCAAAUGGAUAGAAAGGCAAUUGGAAGUGCUUUAUAUGAGGCGUAAAACCUUGUAACAGCAUGUAGAGUAUUUCGAUCAUACGCGUGACUCUCUUUAUAAGUGAUUAACAAAUAUUUUCAUUUCAUGUUUCAGCUGUGGGAAUAAACUGGUUUCCCUUUAUGUAUUUAUGGAUUAGUCGAGAAUAAUUCCUUCAUCCUCAGAAGGCUACAUGAUUUAUGAUCAAUAGGUUUCUUUGGAUAUUUUGAACCUUACAUUGGCAUUCGUGCAAAAAAUAAAGUUUUAAACUGAGAUAUUUUCAAUACGACACUUUCCUUCCACAAAAUGUAGUUUUAACCACGAGUAAGAGUUGAUACUCAGUUUUUCUGCCUUGUUUGCAUAGUGAGAAAGAAAAAAAGAAAACAUGCUCUUCUGCAGUACCCUUGCUGAUCUAGUGAUGGCAGCCUGGCUCCAUUCAAACUGGUACACUUAAACUGCUCAACAAGUUUUUAAAUGGGCCUCUGUCCCAGCAUGUUCAGUCCAGGAAAAGGAGAAUUACAAUAAGUUAUUAAGAUGUAUUGACACCAGAUGUGCCCUGCCCCUAUUCUCAAAAAAGAGCACAAAGGUUCCAGCACUAAUUGGCCAUCUGACCAGCCAACACGGUUCACAAGCAGGCAAUUAACACAUGCACAUAUGAAUACAUUCAUAAAUGCACAUGUGUAUUUCUUUGGCUUUGCUGGUUUGACAAACACACUUGAAUUUCACAGAUCAGCUACCAUGCGUGAUAACUUUAAUUAUGCAGGAGUGACUGCAAUGCAAAUAUCCUUAAUGCAACAAGAGUGAGCUGGCCAGGCCAGCUCACUUCGUUAGAAUAGAGUUUCCAAGGAACUUG